CGUAGGAGACGAGCGUUAUCCGGAUUUACUGGGCGUAAAGCGUGUGCAGGCGGUUCGGCAAGUUGGAUGUGAAAUCUCCCGGCUCAACUGGGAGGGGUCGUUCAAAACUACCGAACUUGAGGUCAUCAGAGGAAGGUGGAAUUCCGGGUGUAGUGGUGAAAUGCGUAGAUAUCCGGAGGAACACCAGUGGCGAAGGCGGCCUUCUGGGAUGAUCCUGACGCUCAGACACGAAAGCUAGGGGAGCGAACGGGAUUAGAGACCCCGGUAGUCCUAGCUGUAAACGAUGUAGACUUGGCGUCGGAGGGUUCAAAACCUUCGGUGUCGUAGCUAACGCGAUAAGUCUACCGCCUGGGGACUACGGCCGCAAGGUUA
rnacentral:rRNA from 1 species